GGAACUGGGAGAACAAGAACCAUGAAGGUGCCAUAUAUGGCCUCUUGAGACCGGGUCCUGAAGAUAUGCCUCUGAGCAAUCUAGAAGACCUUUGGAUAUCCCAGAACCUGCUAUUUAUGUACCUUGGGCCCCAAUUUGCAUCUACGAGUGACCUACUCAUCACAUAGUAAGAAGAUGGAUACCUGCCUAUACUUUCUUGGAUCCAGUGGACUUCCAGGGUCAUGGACACUUCAUUUACAAAACAAGUACAGAAUUAUACGCAGUGAGACAAAUGGCCUACCUCUAGAAAUGGGUGCAACUCUGAAUCUUCAGAACCAAAGACAAGUCUCUUGCUGUUCCUUCUGGCUGCCUCAGACACAGGCAUUGCUUCAGCUGGCUUCAUGUAGGGUUCUAUUGUUAUGUCUAGGUGUCUCCAUCACUGAAGUGACUUAGCUAACUAGGAAAUAAACAAGAGAGAGCAACCU
rnacentral:lncRNA from 1 species